GGCGAGGACUUUCAGGGAAACCAGCCCAGCCUGCAAGGCCUGAUGUCACUCCAACCCCCUGCAGAGCUGUUGAAAACUGCUGGGGAGCUUGGGUCAGGGGGCUUUCUGAGCUGAGGAGGCAUUCCUGACCACACCUAGAAGCCAGCCCAGGUGGUCACUGUGGGAACCGCGAGCACAUGCCAGGGAGACCUGCAGGCGUGAGGACAGAGAGCUUGGGGUAGAACCCAGGGUCUCCAAUGCAGCAGGCAAGCACUCCACUCAACUCCCUGCAUACCACCCCACUUUGAGUGCUCAGCAGGUAUACACUGAAUAUACACUGACGGCCCCAUUCAGUCUCCAGAACCACCCCAUGGGAUGCGAGCAUGGAGGAUCAGCCCCACUCUAGCCCUGGAAAGCCCUCUCUAGCGAAGGGAGCAGUGAGUACCUGUCCCAGGGUGACCUAGGGCAGGACUGAUGAGGACAUCCACACUGGCCCAACUGAGGAUGAACCCCAGGGCCAUCUGGCCUGGGCCUCCAGCCUCCUCCCCGGGCCUGCCCGCCAAGCUGGCAUCCCACUCCAUCCUUCCCUCUCCCUCCAGCCUUCCCCAUCCAAUUCCUUGCCAGUUUCUGGAGGGCCAUCACCAUCCAGUCCAAGCGUAAAACAAAAGGAAAGGAAAGUCCCUUGAUGCCAGAGUGACCAGCUUUUCACCCACUGAUGAGAGUGAAAGGUCCUUGGCUUGCCAGAGGUCACCACUUAGGGGUUCAAAGGUGAUAAUUAAUGUGAAGUCUGAGGUGGGUACAUUUAUUUAUUCAAUUAAUUAUUUAUUGAAUGCCUCUCUGGGAUAGGCACUGUGAAUAAAAUGGACAGAAUAGCAGGGAAUGAUGGCACACUUCUGGAAUUCGGUAUUCUGGGAGGCGGAGGCAGGAAGACUGCAGGUUCAAGUCCUGCCUGGGAAAUUUAGCAAUUGAGAGAACCUCAUCUCAAAAUAAAAAAUAAGACUGGGUGGCACAUGCCUGUAAUGGCAGCAUUCAGGAGGUAGAGCAGGAGCUCGGUUUUGAAUCACAUUCCCUCUCUAAAAGGCACUGUAGCUUUGGAGGGUCUUGAACAGGGACUGUGAGGGAUCACAAGACCAGGAAGAGCAAUGAACACUUGUGUGUUAGAUUACAGGCAGGGAGACAGUAGAGGUCACAGAGAAGUGGCUGGAUUCGAAUAUACAGGGAUGCAUGAGAUAGAUAUAUUUUUAAAAAUUUAUUUCUAGCCACUUAUUUCCCCUUUUCUAGAGACAGAAAGGCCUUAUGCAUACUAGAUAAGUAUUUUACCACUGCAGUGUGUGUGUGUGUGUGUGUGUGUGUGUGUGUGUGUGUGUGUGUGUGUAGUUAGCUAGCUGUUUGUUUGUUUGUUUGUUUUCUAGAGGAUUUUCUGGUUUUGUUUUUUAGUACCGGGGAUUCAACUCAUGAUCUUGCACUUGCCAAGCAGGCGCUGUACCGCUGAGCUAUAUAUCCCCAGUCUGGUUUUACUUUUUUAAAAAAUUGCCUCACUGUGUAGUACAGGCUGGUCUUGAACUAUGUGGCCAAUGCUGACCUCGAACUCACAGCGAUCCUCUUGCUUCAGCCUCGCAAGUGCUGUGAGUACAGGAAUACACCACCAUGUAUUGUGAUUAUGAGGUCUGUUCGUUUGUUUGUCUGUUUGUGUUUUGAGACAGGGUCUAAGUGUUCCAGGCUCUCCUUGAACUAUGUCACCGUGUAGCCCAGGCUGGCCUUGAACUAACAGCGAUCUUCUUGCCUCAGCCUACUGAGUUCUGGGAAUACAGGACUGCGCCGCCAUGCCCGGCUCCUUAAAGUACUUCAGUGUCAAAUAAGCAGGACUUGCUGCCAGGUGGAAGUGUGUGCCAACCGUCCGCGGGCUCAGAUGACUUCACGAAACAGCGCUUGCCUCGGCUUCCUUGUAUCAUCGAUGCCUGGCAGAGAACGUACUCUUCAGUGAAUCAUCAUUUGCAAAGGAUGUAUAGUAUUCUAUGUUGUAAACAGAUGAGUCACAUAUUAGUUUAUUCCAAAUAUUAGACAUGCUAGUUGUUUCACUGUUUUGCAUUAAAAUGUUUCUUUUGCAAAAUGGA